rnacentral:rRNA from 1 species
CAGUCGCCGCGGUAAUACGGAGGGUGCAAGCGUUAAUCGGAAUUACUGGGCGUAAAGCGUGCGUAGGCGGUUACUCAAGUCAGAGGUGAAAGCCCGGGGCUCAACCCCGGAACUGCCUUUGAAACUAGGUGACUAGAAUCUUGGAGAGGUCAGUGGAAUUCCGAGUGUAGAGGUGAAAUUCGUAGAUAUUCGGAAGAACACCAGUGGCGAAGGCGACUGACUGGACAAGUAUUGACGCUGAGGUGCGAAAGCGUGGGGAGCAAACAGGAUUAGAUACCCGAGUAGUCCCUGUCUCUUAUAA